AGGAAUAUUGGUCAAUGGACGCAAGUCUGAACCAGCCAUGCCGCGUGCAGGAAGACGGCUCUAUGAGUUGUAAACUGCUUUUGUACGAGAGUAAACGCUCUUACGUGUAAGAGCCUGAAAGUAUCGUACGAAUAAGGAUCGGCUAACUCCGUGCCAGCAGCCGCGGUAAUACGGAGGAUCCAAGCGUUAUCCGGAUUUAUUGGGUUUAAAGGGUGCGUAGGCGGUUUGAUAAGUUAGAGGUGAAAUACCGGUGCUUAACACCGGAACUGCCUCUAAUACUGUUGAACUAGAGAGUAGUUGCGGUAGGCGGAAUGUAUGGUGUAGCGGUGAAAUGCUUAGAGAUCAUACAGAACACCGAUUGCGAAGGCAGCUUACCAAACUAUAUCUGACGUUGAGGCACGAAAGCGUGGGGAGCAAACAGGAUUAGAUACCCUGGUAGUCCACGCAGUAAACGAUGAUAACUCGCUGUCGGCGAUACACAGUCGGCGGCUAAGCGAAAGCGAUAAGUUAUCCACCUGGGGAGUACGUUCGCAAGAAUGAAACUCAAAGGAAUUGACGGGGGCCCGCACAAGCGGAGGAACAUGUGGUUUAAUUCGAUGAUACGCGAGGAACCUUACCCGGGCUUGAAAGUUACCGACGAUUCUGGAAACAGGAUUUCCCUUCGGGGCAGGAAACUAGGUGCUGCAUGGUUGUCGUCAGCUCGUGCCGUGAGGUGUCGGGUUAAGUCCCAUAACGAGCGCAACCCCUACCGUUAGUUGCCAUCAGGUCAAGCUGGGCACUCUGGCGGGACUGCCGGUGUAAGCCGAGAGGAAGGUGGGGAUGACGUCAAAUCAGCACGGCCCUUACGUCCGGGGCUACACACGUGUUACAAUGGUAGGUACAGAGGGCAGCUACCCAGUGAUGGGAUGCGAAUCUCGAAAGCCUAUCUCAGUUCGGAUCGGAGGCUGAAACCCGCCUCCGUGAAGUUGGAUUCGCUAGUAAUCGCGCAUCAGCCAUGGCGCGGUGAAUACGUUCCCG
rnacentral:rRNA from 1 species